UAGCCCGCAAUCCACGUACUAAUGGGUUGGGUUUAAUGUUUUUUUCCCACAAAAAAUAGGUCAACCCAACCUAGUUGUUCGAAUUCCAAAGUCUCUAUGGCCUAGCCUAGACAGGAUGGACUAGUCUAUUUUUUUAAUCAAAAAGAAUAUAUUAUCUUUUUUUAAAAUAAAAAGUUGCGCAAGCCCAGUUUAUUGAAUCACAUUACAGAGGACUAGUCCCAAAGAGGACCCGAUCCAACACCUAUAAAGACUUCGAUAGGAAAAAAAAUAACAGAUACAAAAAGGGAAAUUGGGAAAGAGGAAAGCAUAUCGGAGGAACAUCAUCCCUUAUCGUCCAUCAUCAUCGUUCCUAUUCAGACAAGCAUUCUCCAGCAAGAUGAAACCACUCCAGCAAUAGAUCGAGUUGGGGGUGUAUUUCAUCUCGAACGUUGCCUAGUCUCACCAACAUCAUGAAAUCAUCCCCAUAACGGACUUCUCCAACUUAGGGUUCUUGAAUCGAAGCUUCGAAGCAGGUUGAGCCCAUCAAGGAGCUAAUACCACUAUUGAAAACCUGGCGACGAAAUUACUGCACCCUUCCUAGGUACACAUUUAUAUCCUGUCUAGGAUAUAAUGGCCCCAGAAUGAUCAUCGACAACAUCAUAUACUCUGGCUUCAUGCAAAUCCAUGGUGAUAAAUUAUAGUUUACCAACAUAAUAGGUCACGUACUAUGGAAAAUGCUCAUGGUCCGAAAUGGAUUGAAACCAUCACUUGAAAGGCCCAAUCAAAAAUUACGAGGAUCAUUUGAGAAGUUUGGAUGCAUAGAAUCAAAAUCCUUCCAAGCUUCUCCAUCAGCAGGAUGCCUUAAAUUCCCAUUAUUAGGUCAUUCAGAAUCAUGUCAUCUCAUUGCAACAGCUAUUUCAGGACACAAAAACAUUCUCUGAAGCCUAGGCUUUAAAGGGAAGUACCUUAAAAUCUUUGCUGGUGUUUUAGAGCUUGCACUAGUUGUGUCAUCACCCUCAUUGGACCAUCUAAAAGAUCCACACAAAAAGCAAUUAUCUUUAUCUGCAUUUUCAUUUCAAAAUAACAUGCAAUCAUUACGGCAUGCAUGUAUUUUUUCAUAGCCGAGACCCAAAUAUUUUAUUAUUUUUUUAGCUUUAUUGAAAGACUCGGGUAGUUGAGAAAAGGGAAAUGCUUAUUUUAACAAUUCUAACAGAUCAGUAAAAGCCACAUCACUCAACCCAUGUAGGUAUUUAAGAAAGUAUAAUCGAAUGAUGAAACUCAACUUAUUGAAGUUCUCACACCCCAGAUAUAACUCUUUUUUUCCUUCAUCCAGUAAUUUAAAAAAUCUCGUUGCAUCUUCAGAUAGCCCUUCUCUCUCUCCUUCUCCAUGACUUAUUUCAUCAUGAAGUACCAUCAAUAUCAUCAUGGUUGCAUGAAAGUUGUGUAUUUCGUGAGGAAACUCUCUCCCCGUGAAAAGUUCAUUUGUUGUAUCAUCCACAAAUUCAUUUACAAUCAAGUGAUCCUUUCACAACAUUUUUGUAAUGCCAAUAACGAUUGAUGCAUUUUUUGCUAGGCAUAA